UAAAUAGGUGUAGUGGUAUUUGAAGAGAUCUCAUUUUCUUGUUCUCAAAACUAUCGACUCUUUCCCCCAAAAACAGAAGCAUCACCUUCUUUCUUCAAGUUGAAAAUCGUAGAGAAAUCUUGAGGCAGUAGCUGUACCAUUUGAAAGAAAAGGUUCGAGUGGCAGUGUAGAAUGAACAAGGACUUCUAUUUCAUUAAGCGUAUCAGGUUAAGCAGUGGUGCAGAUGGAAGCGAGCAGAACAAAUUCUUUGAUGUAUAUGUAUUAAACCAGGCUCAGGAUUCCAUGUCUUCAUACAUGUAAUCCACAUGAAUUAUUCCGCUGCAACACUUAGUCUAUUCUAUUUUAUUGAUGUGUUGUACAUAUUUUAAAUCAAUAGCUUUGAGAAUUAUGUCACUUGAAAGUUAGACAACUUGUCGUUGUGUUGUAAGUUGUCUACUCAUGAGUUUUAAAAGUGAUUGCUUAUGAUUAUCCAAUAUUAAAGUAAUUCAUCGUUAAA